ensembl:lncRNA
UCCUGAAUUGAGGCGCGCGGAGCACGACGGAUAUUGUAGUCUUCUAGCCCUCGGCGCAGUCGUGGAAAACAAUGGAAUGCCGGGGAGGGCAAAAACUACAUAGAAGAUGGCGGCCAACGGGCCCGGCUGGGGACCUCCCUGCAAACCAAGGAUCACGGGAGUUGUAUUCCAACAGGCCCUGAGAAUUUCAUUGGGGAACAGAGAACGGGAACAAGAACAGGGACUACAAACAAGAUGGCAUCUUCCUCCGCCCUCCUCUUCGGGAUCUCAGCCUCUUUCCUUCUACAACCCUCUGCGCGUGUGGGACCCCACGGGACCCGGCCUUAGCCCGUCUACUUCCUUAUCUCCAGUUAUCUCCGUUAGGAACAAUGGAAAGGUAAGGAUAGAUAAGGACUACGUGCAAGAUGGCGGAAGAGCGACUAACUGGCUCGCCUGUCGCGCGGGGUGCGCUAGGAAUAGUAGUCCGGCAGCUUGCAACAAUACUUUAGGACAACGAACCCGGAAAAGGGAUAAGACUACAAUCAAGAUGGCGACCAAGAUUGACAUUCUCCUCGCUGCCGCUUUUUAGCUCAGUAUCUCACCCACCACCAAUAUCAAAAGCCAUCCGAUAGCGCAAGGCACUGUGGGAGUUGCAGUUUUCCAGACUCCACCUCUUUUCUCUUCAGCGGAGACAAUGGAAAAGGAAACGGGGCGGGGACUAUAGGCAAGAUGGCGGCAAAAGGAAAAAUGAAACGAGUAUUCCUGGGCUUUUUGGGAGUUGUAGUCUGCAGCCCAUGGCUACUCAUUUCAGACUUCUUAAAAAAGGACUCUAGUGAAGAUGGUGACAUAAGCAAUCUUUACCUGCGCUGUGUAUGCUGGGAGGCGUAGUAUCUUCCUUAGCCCAAGAAAGAAGAUAGGUCGGACAGUGGAAGAUUGCGUCAUGGUCAUGACGUAAAUGGAGAAAUCAACCUGGAUAAAAUAGAGAACCGGUCGCAUUCCACAGUUUGCUGGGAAAUGUAGUGGGGCUUCUAUUGGCGUCUUAGCGGAGGAUAAAGUCCCCACCAAGUGUGUAGAGAGAAAAGGCCCCCACAGGACACCCUGGGAUUUGUAGUUCUUGUGAUGAGGUGCUUUCCUUUAAAGGGGUCUCUUAAAGGCACAACUCGAGAUAUCGUCACCAUUUAAAUAGGACAAGCAGCCUACUUAAUAGUUCUUCCUGCUAGUCCCGAUCUUCUGAGACAACCAGAGGUACGAGAAAACCUCCAGAUGGUUGCCUCUCUCAGUGUCCUGUCAACCCCACCACCCCAGCUCCCCUGUGCUGCUGUGGGAGGGGCAGGCUCGGCUGGCUGUGUUCCGGGCCAAUGAAUUUCUGAGCCCGAGUGCUCUCUAAAACAGAAAGUUCUUCAUUAUAGCGGAGCAAAGUUGUCCACAUGCGCAACCUGUGGCCGGGAGAAGGUGAGCAAGCGCGAGGAUCAAGCAAACCUAGUGUCGAGGAAUGGCAGUAAUGACCUUUGCGUCUGAAAAGCUUGCUUUCUAAAAGGCUUUUCUCCUGUUCAGGGACAGGGCUUUGCAGGCACAGCUGGAAUAUGGACAGCGGAUCAUGCCGUGCUGUGUCCCCCCUGCCCCCCAUCUCUCCUCCUGCACGCACACACACACACACACACACACACACACACACACACACACCAUCAAUCGCUAGUGAUGUUUUGGCGCCAUCUUGAGGUUAAUAAAAACUUGAACAUUUGUAUGGGAGGGGAGCUUAAAAGGACACUCAGGGGAACAGUGUUUAUUCCCAGUCUCUGAAUGAUGCUUUGGGAAGAUUGGAGGAUGGGACAGGCAAUCCUUCUCCUUGAGAUGAAGAAGUAAGAGAAAAGCAGACAAUAUUAACAUUAGAGUGUAUCUAAUUUAUAUUUUAAUAUAUUUAACAUCUACUGUCAUCCUGCCAUCUGGGGGAGGGGGUGGGGGGGUAAGAGGUGAAAAAUUGGAACAAGAGGUUUGGCAAUUAUUAAUGCUGUAAAAUUACCCAUGCAUAUAUCCUGUAAAUAAAAGGCUAUUAAAUUAAAAAAAAAAUUAGAAAGAUCGAAUGCAAAAAUUUUCAUUACAGUUUUGAUUUGAAAUACAAAUUUUCAUUCUAUUCCUGUUAAUGUGUAUUUGUUUAACCUUAUGGAUUAAAAUAAAAUGGACUGCAUCAAUUGACACAGCAUGGUCCUUCAAGGUAUUGUUAAAUUUCUGCCUUUUUUGUGUUAAACACUAUCACUGAAAAGAAAAAAGGGAGUUUAUUAAAGCAACCACGGGGAGAGUUCUUUAGGCUGUCCCAUACAUUUCAUCAUAUGAUCAUGAUCAUGGGUUCACCAGUGUUUGAACUCCAGUUACCAAAUCAUCAAAGUGUC